GCCUUCUUAGCUCAGUGGUAGAGCGCAUCACUAGUAAUGAUGAGGCCACCUGUUCGAGUCAGGUAGGAGGCA
rnacentral:tRNA from 1 species